UAUUCAAUAUAUUCACAAAAUAUUCAUUUAUAUUGAAAUAAAGUAUAAAGAUUCAUAUCAUAAGUUUAUUUAUUAAAAAUAGAUUUUAUUUUAACUUGGAUAUAUAGACGAUGCUUUUGAAUCUAAUUCAAUUAGUUUAUCUAUUUGUAACUAUUUCUACUAUAAUAAAGCUAAUUUCAAUGACUAUAUAUAUACCAAUAUAUAUCAAGAUUAUUAUUAUUGUAAAAAAUUAUCUUAAAAGUAUUAAGUGAAUAACUAUAAAGUUUCACAUGCUUAAGAUAAUCUAAAUCCACAAUCCAUUUUGACACAAAAAUCAUAGAGGUUCUUUUUUUUUGCCAUGAAUGAAUAAUCUUACUUUUCAAAUUCAUCUUUGAUACCAUUUGCAUUCUAUUUCUCUAUCUUCUUAUCUUUGUAGUAAUUUUAAGAAAAACAUCUUACUUAUCCAUAAAUGAAGUAAGUUUUAAUUUUAUUUUUUUAUAUUUAACUAAGUAUCUUUGCUUUAAUGUGAAUAAAGUACUACAUCCUCGUUUUGAAGGUCUUUUUAUUUCUUUUUAGUCACUUCAUGGCUUAAGCUUGUUCUUAGAUAGUCUAUCAUAACGUUUUUUAUUUUAUUAAUCUUUAAUAUUACAAUACCACAAUAUCACAAUGACAUAGUUAUAGGAUUUUGAUAAACUCACAAAUAAAAUCAUGAUAAUAUCUUUAUCUUCUAAAAGCUUAAAUACAAUCGCAAGUUGAUUUGUACAUGCUUUUAUCUUAUUCAUGUAUGCCAUGAGGUCUUCACUUUCUUUUAUCUUGCAAGUAAAGACUUUCUUCUUUGUGUAAAGAAUAUUAGAUAAGUUCUUAUUCUUAUGAAUAUUGAAAAGAGACUUCUAUGCUUUUUCUAGUAUUUUACAAGAAGUAAUAUAAAAAAACUUUGUCUCGUCAAUAUUGAUCAUGAGCAAUCCAAAUGUCUUUUUUUUAUAAUAU
rnacentral:lncRNA from 1 species